rnacentral:rRNA from 1 species
UCUCUCUUCUACACACUUGUGAACUUACACUGUUGCUUUGGCAGGUUUCUGGAUGAGCGUAAGCUCGGAAGGUUAGACCGAAAGGUGCUUGCCAGAGACAUUUAUCUACCCUUUUUAUUUUGUCUGAUUUUUGUUUUUAACAAAUUAUAAUAAAACUUUCAACAAUGGAUCUCUUGGCUCUGGCAUCGAUGAAGAACGCAGCGAAAUGCGAUAAGUAAUGUGAAUUGCAGAAUUCAGUGAAUCAUCGAAUCUUUGAACGCACAUUGCGCCCUCUGGUAUUCCGGAGGGCAUGCCUGUUUGAGUGUCAUUAAUCUCUCACAAAACCUUCUGGUUUCUGUUGAUGUUGGGAGCUGCGACCCUUUGAGGGACGCUCUCCUCAAAUGUAUUGGUGCGGCCUGCCGCCCGGUUACACAACGUUCUAGGUUCGUCCAACUCGUUGACAUGCCGGUGCACUUUUGGUGCUGCACCUAAAGCCCGCCUUGUGCCUUGUGCUCUUGGCUUUUUCAUUUAUUGACCUCAGAUCAGGUAGGAAUACGCGCUGAACUUAAGCAUAUCAAU